rnacentral:tRNA from 1 species
ACCUGGGUGGCUCAGUUAGUUGAGCGUCUGACUUCGGCUCAGGUCAUGAUCUCACAGUUUGUGGGUUCGAGCCCCAUGUCAGGCU